GACGAACGCUGGCGGCGUGCCUAAUACAUGCAAGUAGAACGCUGAAGAGAGGAGCUUGCUCUUCUUGGAUGAGUUGCGAACGGGUGAGUAACACGUAGGUAACCUGCCUUGUAGCGGGGGAUAACUAUUGGAAACGAUAGCUAAUACCGCAUAACAAUAGGUGACACAUGUCAUUUAUUUGAAAGGGGCAAUUGCUCCACUACAAGAUGGACCUGCGUUGUAUUAGCUAGUAGGUGAGGUAACGGCUCACCUAGGCGACGAUACAUAGCCGACCUGAGAGGGUGAUCGGCCACACUGGGACUGAGACACGGCCCAGACUCCUACGGGAGGCAGCAGUAGGGAAUCUUCGGCAAUGGGGGCAACCCUGACCGAGCAACGCCGCGUGAGUGAAGAAGGUUUUCGGAUCGUAAAGCUCUGUUGUAAGUCAAGAACGAGUGUGAGAGUGGAAAGUUCACACUGUGACGGUAGCUUACCAGAAAGGGACGGCUAACUACGUGCCAGCAGCCGCGGUAAUACGUAGGUCCCAAGCGUUGUCCGGAUUUAUUGGGCGUAAAGCGAGCGCAGGCGGUUUGAUAAGUCUGAAGUUAAAGGCUGUGGCUCAACCAUAGUUCGCUUUGGAAACUGUCAAACUUGAGUGCAGAAGGGGAGAGUGGAAUGUCCAUGGUGUAGCGGGUGAAAUGCGUAGAUAUAUGGUGGAACACCGGUGGCGAAAGCGGCUCUCUGGUCUGUAACUGACGCUGAGGCUCGAAAGCGUGGGGAGCGAACAGGAUUAGAUACCCUGGUAGUCCACGCCGUAAACGAUGAGUGCUAGGUGUUGGAUCCUUUCCGGGAUUCAGUGCCGCAGCUAACGCAUUAAGCACUCCGCCUGGGGAGUACGACCGCAAGGUUGAAACUCAAAGGAAUUGACGGGGGCCCGCACAAGCGGUGGAGCAUGUGGUUUAAUUCGAAGCAACGCGAAGAACCUUACCAGGUCUUGACAUCCCGAUGCUAUUUCUAGAGAUAGAAAGUUACUUCGGUACAUCGGUGACAGGUGGUGCAUGGUUGUCGUCAGCUCGUGUCGUGAGAUGUUGGGUUAAGUCCCGCAACGAGCGCAACCCCUAUUGUUAGUUGCCAUCAUUCAGUUGGGCACUCUAGCGAGACUGCCGGUAAUAAACCGGAGGAAGGUGGGGAUGACGUCAAAUCAUCAUGCCCCUUAUGACCUGGGCUACACACGUGCUACAAUGGUUGGUACAACGAGUUGCGAGUCGGUGACGGCAAGCUAAUCUCUUAAAGCCAAUCUCAGUUCGGAUUGUAGGCUGCAACUCGCCUACAUGAAGUCGGAAUCGCUAGUAAUCGCGGAUCAGCACGCCGCGGUGAAUACGUUCCCGGGCCU
rnacentral:rRNA from 1 species